rnacentral:rRNA from 1 species
UCAGCAGCCGCGGUAAUACAGAGAGUGCAAACGUUGUUCGGAAUUACUGGGCUUAAAGCGCGCGUAGGCUGCAUCGUAAGUGUCUGGUGAAAUCCCACGGCUCACCCGUGGAACUGCCAGGCAUACUGCGGUGCUAGAGUGUGGUAGGGGAGAGCGGAACUCCUGGUGGAGCGGUGAAAUGCGUAGAUAUCAGGAGGAACACCGGUGGCGAAGGCGGCUCUCUGGUCCACAACUGACGCUGAGGUGCGAAAGCUAGGGGAGCAAACGGGAUUAGAUACCCCGGUAGUCCUAGCUGUAAACGAUGGGCACUAGCUUGGGGUCUCCCUGUGUGAUCCCAGGUGAAGUAAAAAUGAUAAGUGCCCCGCCUGGGGAGUAUGGUCGCAAGGCUGAAACUCAAAGGAAUUGACGGGGGCCCGCACAAGU